rnacentral:lncRNA from 1 species
UCAUGAUCCUCGCAGGUGCAGAAGAAAGCAUCAGACAUGGCAAUUAGCAUCAAACCAAUUACACUGUGAUUUCAAUUAGUACUAUAGCUUAUGCAUUGCAAUUAGCAAAUGAAAAGCACAAACAACUUAAAUGAUUAUGGAGUUCAAGAUUAAUUAAAGAAUGAAACCUUUUUUUUUGUUCUGCUACAAGUACAAGACAACCAGCUGUAACAACUUUUCCUAGCCCCUGCCUGCCACACUUCCACACUGGGUCCAUGGCUGUUAAGAUGACCAUGAAAG